GUGCACUGCUCUAUCCGCGAGAGCAGCAGCUGGGCGCACACGUCUCUCCCGCGCUCUGUGUUUAGAUGAACGUCGUCAUGGAGUUCAAAACACUUUCAUUCAGUUUCCAAACUGGGAAACACACUGAAUUAAAAUUAAGAGAAUUAAAAGCUACGUUUAAGUUUGAUCGGCACACUGGGUCACAAGAGCUCUGUGGGCAUCUCUAUUGAUUGUGAUAAGGAGGAGGUGGUGGUGGAAACGUAUCUGAUUGAUGGUCUGGUUGGGACCUUGCCAUCCCUCCCUUAACUAACUUGGAAAACAACAUGCACAAUAACACAAUAAUACUGAACAAACAAUACUAAUAUAACACUCCUAGGCAAACCACAUAGACAAUUGCAAAUUCAAUUUAUCCUACAAACAUAAAAUACAAGUAUUAGGCAGGCAUGACGAUGCAGAGGAUCGUAGACCAGAGUACAGAUUAUCGACAGACAGAUAAUCACUCAAUUAAACCCAUUUAUAAUUAUGGGUUUGGAAUUACACCGCACCAGGGAAGAAAGAAAAACACUUACCCUGGCACUUCUGACACCAAAUUGUUAGAUUUCCAUGUAUCUCAGGAAUCUCAGAUUAUGCCUUCCAGCCUUUUCUAAAGUUACUUCUAUUAACUUUUAGUUCUGUGCUUAGAAAGUGUGGUUCUCCUCAGAGCAUUUCAGAUCGAUCUGGGGAGCCUAAAUGAACACACACUACCACAUGCAUGCUCAAAUAGACAUCCCAGUUUAUUCAUGCAAACCAAGAGUAUGUAUACACAUUGAUAACAGCAGUGCGUGGACAGUUUCUACUGGUGCAGGGGCCAGACAGAUUUAGACAAAAUGCACAGCACACAGGGUCAUACUACAAAAUAAGUCCACUAUAAUAAAGAUGGCAGGUGAUCAGCUUAUUCAAAGAGGUGAUUAAAUGUAUACAUCCAUCAUAGGUAUUUGGUAGCAGUUCAUAGUAUAAGAGAGUACAUGAUAUAUAUUUAUUUCAAAUCUGAUCCAAAAUAACCUUGUAAUAGCCUGGUAAUAAUUCGUAUAAAACUGUAAUUGAUUCAUGGUGUGCACUGUGUGAAGUUAAAUGAAACCUACAACUAAAUUAUUUUCAGUAUCUAAAGGUAUAAUUUUGUAAACAUUUCAGCUGAUUCAGCUGAAAAUGAAUGUUUUGAAGCUGUGUAAUGAAAUCUUGUGGCUGGUGUGAAAGGUGAAGUAAGGUUGUUGCAGGAUUGGCUGUUUCACACGUGAAAAUUGAACUUUUUGUGGUUGAAAGUUGACAGUGUUUAGCCUGGAUACCAAUAACACAGUAUGGCACUGCGUCAUAGCAAAGCAAGCUAGUAUAAUUAGAUUUUAAAUAAGGUAGAAGGACUGGAUAUUUUUUGUCUACUUAAUUCCAUUGCACUUUAAAUUGCAGUAUGGUGACGGGUUUAGUACGUAUAUUACAAGUUAUUUUAUACACAAAGGUACUUUGACAGUCGAAUAUUAUUUAGUUAAAAAUACCUUGUGUACAUGUCACAAGCUGAAGAUGUAAUUUCUUUAUAACUAAAAUAUAAAUGCCAUUUACAACAGUUAUUGAUGCUAAUAUCCAAGUUUGAACAUGACAUGAAUAAAUAUAUAUACCUCCAGUUUAAUACAGAAUAAUUAUAUAAUGAUAGACAUAUGAUCCCUG
ensembl:lncRNA